UACGUAGGGAGCAAGCGUUGUCCGGAAUCAUUGGGCGUAAAGCGCGCGUAGGCGGCCCGAUAAGUCCGCUGUAAAAGUCAACGGCUCAACUGUUGAAAGCCGGUGGAAACUGUCGGGCUAGAGUACGGAAGAGGCGAGUGGAAUUCCUGGUGUAGCGGUGAAAUGCGCAGAUAUCAGGAGGAACACCAAUUGCGAAGGCAGCUCGCUGGGACGUUACUGACGCUGAGACGCGAAAGCUAGGGGAGCGAACAGG
rnacentral:rRNA from 1 species